rnacentral:tRNA from 1 species
GCCCUGGUAGCUUAACUCUAAAGCGCCGGUCUUGUAAACCGGAGACAGGGGGUUAAAGUCCUCCCCAAGGCC